CUUGCAAGGAAGUUUAUGUAACUAUUUGCAACAGAAAAACGUCUCACAGCAUUCAACAAUGCGGCGUAACUACAAAAGAAAAAAUGACGCAGCCAGUCUCCCGCAGCGACUUUUCAAAUCUGCGUUGCGCUGUGCAGAAUCUGUACAGAUUUCUGCAGGUGGAGUUGAGUGACGUCACACAGCAGCCCUCGAAGAACGCGCGUCUCCCCCAUUCUGUGCAGAACUGUGCAAAUCAGCACUACACAAAACGCGACCAUUAUUUGAUGCAUGUUAUGCCUGUAAGCAAGUUAUUGUUGGUAAUAAAUUACCAGGUAUGGUUUGUGGUCAGCAAUGUAUGCAAUGUGACGUGUUUAAUUUUCCGUAGUUCAGCAAUUUGUUUGGAUCAUGUGUUUAUGUGUGUAUACUGCAUGUGUGUUUAGAUCAAUGUUUGCUACAGUACAAUUAUUAUGGUAAACUUAAAAAGCCAUAGCAAACAAAUCAGUCACAGUCACAUCAAAGCUUCAGAUUCAAUUAGCAUCUGUUCUCAUUUAAAUUUUCAAUCAAUUCAUAAUUUCUACUAUUAGUUUUGGUGUGGACACAGUAGGCGAACAGGAUGAACAUGCAAAUGAGUAAAACCAGAAAACAGUUAAGGUGCAGUAUAAAUAUAGUUUUUUAAACAACCAUUUUUUUUUAUUGAUGAAUAACAGCUGAAGAAUGUUAUUAAUAUAAUAUGCAAUUCCCCCCUUUGCAGACAGCAUACCAGCACUACUUUGGGCAUGAAGGCGGAGUACAUAAAGCAGGUCUACUACCUUGAACUUGAAGCGAAUUUCCUAUAUCCUUUAACAUUAUUUUUGCACUAUACAUGUUAAAGUAAAACACUAAAGCCCAUGUCUGAACUAAGCGGUCACCUAAGACAGGCGUGUGUUCUGAAGGUUCAGAGGACGCCAUACCAAAUAGUAACAUUUAUUGUAAACUAAAUGAUCAAUAACAGCUAUAAGGCAAGUCAGUGAGCAGGUUAUGGUAUCACUGCACGGCCUCAAUACUAUUUAUCUAAUCAGUUCAUCUGUUUAAGUACACUAUUUACCAAUAAUUUUUAGUUCUGGAACAGUUUAGAAUCUAGACGUUUACUUAAAAAUCUUAGUCAUAGUGAUGUGUGUACAGCUUUUUGACAUAAAUGAAGUGGACCUAAAGUAAAGGUCAGUUGUUCAAUUACAGUAUGUCUUUCAAAAUUGUAUUCUUUCUAUUUUAGUAACUUCUGCUGACGUAGGAACUUUACAAGAUGCACUGAUGCUUAAAGAAAUUCAAAACCAUUUUCAAUAUUUAAGCAAUCGACCUUAAUCCUGCUGUUUUUUUUUUUACUCGAGAGCAGACUAGAAAAGCCACACAACUGCAGCCUCAGAUGACAUCUUAAGCAGAGCAAAUGAUGCAGAAAAAUACUUUUUUUUGCUCCUGUCUCAAAAGAUGUCUCUCUGAAAUUGUGUUUCAUUUAUCAAAUUGAACACCAAAGUACUGUUGAAGGCUUUUCAAGCCUUCAUUCGUGUUGAAGCAUAACCUUUUUUUUUUUUGGUGUGUAGUUAUAAAGCUUGAGUAACAAAUUUCUGUAUGUAAGAUGAAAAAUACAACCGUUACCCCUAACCUUACAAAGCAAUCAUCAUUUGAUGAGAGAUUUCAUUCCCAAAAAGUGCAAUAUAAUUGUCAGACUCCUAUAAAAAAUACUAUAGUGCUGUCCAAAAACACUUAUGUUUCCUAAAGUAUACUGCAGUACAUACUGUACAUUUUUAAUCAUAUUCCAAUUUUUCAUGUUUCUGAAGUUUUUGUUUAAAUGUUAUAUGAAACACCUCCUUUUUCACAAAACACUUUGAAACAAUGAGAGUGCAUUUUUUUUUAAAAUAAUUUUUUAAAAUAAUUAUGAAGGAGCUUAAGUCACAAGCUGUUGGCAGUAUUUAGGCUGCGCAGUUCCAACCUUCGGGUUCCCAAUCUUGUCCUAACUGAGACGUGCUGCGUAUCUGUUUGUUGUUUUGUGUUUUCACCCCUUGUGUUUUGCAGCAGAACCUGAGUGAACCAGAGUGGCGUUUGACAAAUCCCGGACAAUCUGCUGUUUGUCCAGGAGUAUAGGACUGCAACUUUAAACCGCCUCGGGAGGGAGUCGAGGUAGCCAGCCGGGACGAUACCCGCUGCUGGAUCGCGGACGAUCGACACGUCUGCUUUACUUUGUUUAUUAACUGUAUUUUUAACAUUGGAUUUAUUCACUUUAUUUUCAAACCACGAUUACCAUUUCUGAUAUCCCUGGUGGUUCUUUUGGUUUCGUUAUGUACAGUACGGGACUGUUUAUUGUGUUAUAGUGAAAUAAGACCCUGACCCGGAUACCAUUAAUGGUACCAUGGUCAUUUGGAUUACAACCUCACUUCCGGUUUUCCUUUGUCAUUACUUUCAGGUCACAUUCACUCCUCCCACAAAGUCCACCACACAAGCCAAUUAUCAGUUUUUUUUUUAUUUUUUUAAUUGCAGACCUAUUCAGAUGGUUCCUUGUACUUGAAAAUGACUGGACCAGUUGCAGUUAUGUAGGAUUUUUUUGGAUCAUUUUUUUCCUGAUAAAUAAAAUGUGAUAAUACAAGAAGUAGAUGGAGCACAUUGCUUAAAUACUUAUUACCUUGCUAUCCAGGUUUGUUAUUCUAGUUCUCUUUUGGAUUUCCUCAGCCUCUCGUUCUGAGGAGAAACACUCUUUAAUUCAGAAGCUGAAGAAACUGAAGGAGCACAGAGACAGACAGGCAGGUCUCGAAUAAGGAAAUAGAAAUAGUGCAGACCAGGCUGGAGCUGGGGCGACAGCUAAUGAACCUGAAAAACAACGAGCACAAAAUCACACCACUACAGCCAGAGGGACUGUACCAGGUUAAACGUGUUUAGCAAAUACACCUUUGACAUUUUGCACUUUUCUGUCCAUCAAUGGCAACACUUAAAGAAACUGCAUUCUAAUCAAUACUAUUUGGAAGUAACUAUUAUGCAAGAGCUAUACAUUUACAAAAGUCCAGGUAAUAGCUGUGUCUAUGCAUAUUGUAUAACUUCAUCAAUUACACCUUAUUUUAAUACAGCAGUUUAUGACGUGCUAAUUGUACUGGGUAUGACAAUGGACUGCUAAGUUUUAGUAUUUCAUCUCAUCUCUGGUACUGGAGCUGUACUUGACACUGUUUUCACUGUUCACAAGGGCAGACGAAGGGAAUACUACAUUUUUCCUGAUGAGAUUUCUCAGAUUUUCUGAAUACAUUUCAAUGUGUCCAUUAACACCACCACAGUGCAUCAAUAAUUUGAAGUGUUGUUAUAUUCCCUGCUCCAGCAGAGAUAAGAGCAACACAAAAUAGUGGAGAUGCAUCUCACAGGAAAGUGAAUGGGCUGGCUGAGGGUGCACUCAGCCCUGCGUGAAACAGAGGAGAAAUAUUACUCAAACACAGCUGCUAUGCAAGACUACAUCACGAAGGAUCUACGGUAUUGGCAAAACAGAUUGUGCUUUAUUAAUAAAGAGAUGAGAUUUGUCUGCUCCACCAGCAGCUGUGACAGAGAGAUCUAAAGGCAGAGCAGUACAAACUUCUGAGAAGCAAAAUGUCAGAUGACUGUGCAGCCCUGCUCCCAGCACAUGGAGCUGAACAAACAGUCAGAAAGGGGAUGAGUUCUAAAGGAGGAGAGCAGCUCCCAGAAUUCCAGCAGCAUUGUUCAGCUUUUUGCAAUGAAGCAACUACAGCAUGAUGUCAAAAUGCAGAAGGAAAUCCUGGGGCAAGAGAAGACUACAUUCAAAGAAUCUAUGGACAGGAUUUCCACGCUUGAACAUGCAAAGACAUCAGUUGAGAUGCAUGGGGCCUCAUUACGCAGUCGUCUGGCCGAGGAGAAGGCCAUGCUGACUAAGGAAGAACAGAAGAAUGUACAGAGACCAAGGCUGGGACCAAAUCAAAACUUUGACAACCCGCUAGUCGCACUUAACAAAACUGUAUUUAAUAACGUUUUCUUUUUUUCUUUUGCUAAGGACAGUGACCUUUCCUAGAUCUGUUCCAGAAUUGAUCUCUACCAUCAGGACAUUUCUACCUUGAAAUCCCAUCACGAUCUGCAUCAGUCUGAGAAAACACAGGGGAUUUCCAACAGAGCCCCCUCAAUGAGAAAACUGACUGAUUCAAUUUCUUAAUAUCAUUUAACUGCUAGAUAAUAAAUCGUGGUAAUUAUCUCCAAGUAACGACCGCUGCUGAGGAUGUUAAUGCUUUUAAAAAUCAAACAAAUGUUUUUUUGUUUUGUUUUUGUGUACAACAGCAUUUUUUAAUUGUGUGUUAUAUAUGUUGGAAAUUGAAUUUAUUGCUUAAAAGAGGGCAUUAGAGGGCAUACUGUAUCUGUGGGAUAAUGACUGCUCUACUUGGAGCCUGAUAUGCUGUGACGAUCUGUGUUGUUUAUAAUUUGUAAUAGAUAGUAUGACCCAAUGAAUGUAUUUUCAUAAUAAAAAGUAUUGUUAUUACAAAAUUAGCUUGGUAUACAAAAUGGUGUUUUCUGAAAUAGUGAAUGGUUACAACUUUAAGAUUAAACUUGAAGGUUACACAAAAGAGGUUCCGACAUACUGUAAAACACUGUAACCAGCAGUGUGGAGUAGUGGUUAGGGCUCUGGACUCUUGACCGGAGGGUUGUGGGUUCAAUCCCUGGUGGGUGAUACUGCUGCUGUACCCUUGAGCAAGGUACUUUACCUAGAUUGCUCCAGUAAAAACCCAACUGUAUAAAUGGGUAAUUGUAUGUAAAAAUAAUGUGUAAAAAAGAAUGUAAUUGUAUGUAAAAAUAAUACGAUAUCUUGUAACAAUUGUAAGCUGCCCUGGAUAAGGGCGUCUGCUAAGAAAUAAAAAAUAAUAAUAACCAGUGUACAAUGUGACAGUCACGAAGCAUGCCAUUGGUUUGUAUUCUGUUUGUAUUGAUUACUACUUGUUAUAACUAAUUGGUAGUACUAAAUAAAUUACUUUUUACACACACACAUAAACUUUAUACUUGUAGAAUAAUAAAAUAUGCACACAUGAUUUUUUCUUCAAAAUGAUUGUUAUUAUCUUUCAAUGCAACAGCAUGUGUGGAGCAUGCACA